GUGUGUGUAGGAGGAAUUAAUUUUAAUCAAGUGGAAACUAGGAAACACUUGAUCUAGAUUAAUUUAAAA
rnacentral:ncRNA from 2 species